AUAUGUUAAGUGUACGCAAUAAGUUAGAAAUAUCUUCCUUUAAUAGGUCCUAAUCACAACAUUUGUCCCAAAAACUCUUUUGCAAAUGCCCCAGCAUGUUCUACCUCUUUAACUCAGUGUGAUCAAAUUUCCUUUGUUAAUUCUGCUCCUGUGGCAUCGUUACCAACUUGUCCCUUUUGUCUUGCAACUUAUGGUCAGUACUUGAUUCAGCAGCUGAGGGCCAAUUGAGCAUGCUCCAAGAACUAUACCUAUGAGUCAGUGAUCUUACCCCAACAUUAGUGAGCAGCCAAAAGCCUCUUGAGCCUUCCUGCAUGGCAGCUGGUUCCAUGACAGGAUUUCCCCUUGAGUAAGGACAACUCUUGAGGUUAUGCCUGAGCAAAGAUCCCUUACACCUUGAUAUCAAAACGUCUUGCCAAUACAGAUACUUGGGUUAUUCCACCUUCUGAAUAUCAAUCAAGUCCAGGAGGAGAAAAAGGGAAGAGAAUGGAUGAAGGAGCAGAGGGAGUAACAAACCUUUCUACUGUAAUUUCAGUAAUGGAUGAGAAUGUGUCUGCUCCUUUGCUGGACCCAGAGAAAGAGUAGAGAAAAGACAUCUCUCUUUUCAGAGUCAGGCACAAACACUGUAUUUGUGUACAUGAAGACAACAACAGCAAAGAAGAAGGCAUGCAGAAGACAAAUUUGAACAGCCAGUUUAGAUUUCAGACGUGAACUGAAUACAACCUUCCUGAAUGUUUUGCUUUCAGCACAGCCCUGACUGAAGUUCAAAUAUCCUUCCCGUUAACUGGUUUGGAUAUACAGAUAUUUUUCCCAAACCACCAUAACCAUUUUUAAUUUGAGACCAAGUGUCAUUAGUGAUAUUAACUAUAAAAUAAUUAGUAGUCUUUUCGUGGCUUAAGAGUGGGUUUGUUUUGAUUUAGGUUAAGUUGACAAGAAACAGGUUCAAGCUGUUUUGAAAAAAGAUAUUCUUAAAUCAAAACAGACACCCACAUUGGGUGAUAUAAUUAAAAAGAUCUGGAUGUGAGCAUGGCCUUAGGUGGUCCAGGUAUCUAUUUUGCAUUGUUUAAAAACAACAUUAUAAAGUGAUGCAGCCUUUGAGGUGCAUAGUGCCUGAUAAGAGACUACUUAAAGUAGUGGGCAUCAUGACUUCAGAGGAAAUUUGUCUGUGUGUUUUUAAAAAUAUCUGCAAAACUAUUAUAAACGCAAAAUCUAGGUAAAGCAAAACUGAAGCUGGCUGCUCCUCAUAUAUUGGAGCCAAGUGACAAACAGAAUGGACAGACAAGGGGGCAGAACACUGCUACAGAAGUAACAUAGUCCACCACCAUUCAACUAAACAGCAUCAUGAAGAUGUUUCCUUUCAUCCCCCCACCUCACCUCCCAUGGCUUAGUUAUACUGACUUAGAUUGUUCUUUGCCUCCCAGACACCUGGGCAAGAAUUAGUUCUGCCUCAUUGCAUUUAUGUGCUUAGCCAAGCCAUCUCAAUAUUUUCAAGGUCAUUGUCUACGGUCUCCUGAGGUUGUUGAUCCUUUGGUUUGCCUUUAGAGAAACAGGGGAGAUAAACUUCCAAAGUGGAGGUAAAGGACAAGACUGAAAAAUCAAAAUAAAUGAAAUUUUUACAGAAUGCAAAAGAUGGAGGUCAUUUAACCUUGGCUCAAGUGUACUGCCAUUGCUCACACAAGUACUCAA